ensembl:lncRNA
GCCCCGGCCGCAUCCCGCCUCCGGCCUCUGGCGAGGGUCUGCCGUUCGCCCCCAGCCCAGCUUCUCCAGACUUUAGUGCAGACCCUAACCGGGAGCCGUGACCCCAGACUCUGGCCGCGCAGGUGCCCCUCGGUAGCCGCGGGAGGGAGAACCUGCCACCCUCGCCCCUCCCCGGUUCACCCCGGUCCUGCCUCUCCGCUAACGCCUCCUGGAAGAGGGUCCUAAGAGCCUCGCGGCCCGCCACCAGCCUGGUCCCUCUGCAGACAGCCUCCUCCCAUCCCACUCUCCCUCCAUCCCCCGGCCUGACGGGUGAGAUGGGUUCCGCCACCAGUAGGUCUUUGGAGAAGGAAAUGGCAACCCAUUGCAGUAUUCUUGCCUGGAGAAUUCUAUGGACCAAGGAGCCUGGUGGGCUACAGUCCAUGGGGUCACGACGAGUCGGACACGACUGAGUGACUAACACAGGCAGGUAAUUACUGAGUGCCCGCCAUGUGCCGUGUACCAUGCCAGGUGCUAGGACCAGAGCUGGCAGCAAGAUGUACUCUCUAUCCUUAAGGAUCCCAUGGUGGGAUGGGAAACAGAUGGCCAUCCACCACAGGAUGGAUGCAAAAAUUGUGAGACAGUCCCAGGUGGCGCUAGUGGUAAAGAACCCACCUGCCAAUGCAGGAGACAUAACAGACGCAGGUUCGAACCCUGGACCAGGAAGAUCCCCUGGAGGAGGGCGUGGCAACCCACUCCAGUAUUCUUGCCUGGAAAAUCCCAUGGACAGAGGAGCCUGAUGGCUAUGGCCCUUAGGGCCGCACAGAGCCAGACGCGACUGAGCCACAAAGCACGGCGCACGACGGACUGAUAGCACCUUACUAGUGCUGUGGCCACGGAGCCCAGCACGGGAUCUGACCUAGAGCAGGCUCUCCAUGUCUGUUUCUGCAAAAGUAAAUAAACGCAAUCGCCUCUGUAAUCCGGAGCUCCACAGAGAGAUUAGACGGAGAACAAAGUUAAGGAAAAGCAUGGCCCCCAGUGUGCACGGGCCCAACGCUCUACGUGUGCGAGUAUGCCUGUGUACAUGUGUACCUGGGCACACAUGUGCAUGAGGGCCACGGGCAGAGCCACUCUGCCAGCACUCCGAUCUAGCCUAACCAGCCGGGUCCUCAUCCAGGAGCCACCACCAAGUAAGGUGUUGUGGACUGUGUGUUUGUGUCCCUUCAAAAUUCAUCGUGAAGCCCUAGCCUCAGCGGGAUGAUAUUUGAAGAUGGGUCACGGGGAGUGGGACUUCCUUAGUGGUCCAGUGGUUAGGACUCCCCACUCCCAGUGGAGGGGAUUCCUUCCCUGGGCAGAGAACUAGAUCCCGCAU